CCUACGGGUGGCAGCAGUGGGGAAUAUUGGACAAUGGGCGAAAGCCUGAUCCAGCCAUGCCGCGUGUGUGAAGAAGGCCUUCGGGUUGUAAAGCACUUUCAGUGGGGAAGAAAGCCUUGGGGCUAAUACCCUCGAGGAAGGACAUCACCCACAGCAGAAGCACCGGCUAACUCCGUGCCAGCAGCCGCGGUAAUACGGAGGGUGCGAGCGUUAAUCGGAAUUACUGGGCGUACAGCGCGCGUAGGCGGUCUGAUAAGCCGGUUGUGAAAGCCCCGGGCUCAACCUGGGAACGGCAUCCGGAACUGUCAGGCUAGAGUGCAGGAGAGGAAGGUAGAAUUCCCGGUGUAGCGGUGAAAUGCGUAGAGAUCGGGAGGAAUACCAGUGGCGAAGGCGGCCUUCUGGACUGACACUGACGCUGAGGUGCGAAAGCGUGGGUAGCAAACAGGAUUAGAUACCCUGGUAGUC
rnacentral:rRNA from 1 species